rnacentral:tRNA from 1 species
CCGUAAUUGGUAGCGGGGCCGGACUGUAAAUCCGGUGUCUUAGACUCUGGAGGUUCAAAUCCUCC